AGUUUCCCUCCAUGAAGAUGACACAAACUGAUGUCAUGUAACAGUCCUUCUCGUCUAUGAACUGAGUCUGCGGUAAGUCGGGUCUCGGUAGGCCCAAAGUCGGGGCCUGUGAUAAGGAAGUCUUUAAGUCCUGAAAAGCCUUUUCAGCUUCAGUAGUCCAAGUCAGUUUGUCAUGCGCGCUGAGGCCUUUACCGUGGACCAUGAACGAGAGAGGUGCCUCUCUUUCUGAAUAAAUAGGGAUCCACUGUCUACAGUAUGAAGUCAUCCCCAAAAAACUCAUCAUUCGUUUUUUUUUUUGUUGGUUUUUUGUUUUUGGUACCAAUUGAAUUGCCCCAAUACGUUUGGGAGAGAGGGAUUUUGCCCUCAGCUGUGAUCACAUGUCCCAGAUAAGUCACUUGUUCUAGAGCAAAUUUAAGUUUUUCGUAGGCAAGCCUUAUUUCCGUUCUCUGCCAAAUCUUUAAGUAGCGAAAUUGUAUCAAUUUUACAAGGCUCCUUUGAUGGGCUGCAAAUCAUCAUAUCAGCCACAUAAUUUAGAUGGGCUGACCCUGCAGGGAGUUAUACAUUUCGUAGGUGUUCCUAAGCGCUUCUGUGGAAUACACCUGACUUCUGUGGUAACCCACUGGACAUCCUAUCCAUUUAUAGCCGCGCCCAAAAAAGAAAAAAAAACAAAAAACAAACCAACUUAUGUCUUCUUGUUUGGGUGGCUAUACAAGUCUGCGUGUUAUGUGUAUUCCUCGACGAGCUCUACUGUUCUGUGUACACUACUCGUGUGAUCUACAUUACCACUAGCGCUAUAUUCUUCAUGAGGAUCCUCUGCACCCGGUCUGAACUUUAGGCCGAGACGCUGUUGCAACCAUGGACCAAGAUCCUGUAUCCCAGUGAGAUGGUUUAGCCAAUGAAACAUAGAGUAGAAUCAAGAAACACCUUUUUUUUUCCUUUGGGAAGGAGAGAGAGAUACAGACACUGCAGCAGCCUCCUCUGACCAAUACACAUGCUUCAACCACAAUCUCUCUUUCUCCAACUUUUGGUCAUGCCAUACGUCCACAUACCUUCUAUCUCGCCCUGUGCUUACAUGGGAUGUGCAAUGUAAUGUUCAUGCAUGUAAUAUUCUACUGUGUGUGUACGUGCAAUUUGUACACGGUCAUGAGUAAUUUAUGCUUCAAGGUAUGCUAGUAGUUUUCAUCCAUAUACAUACAGGAGGGUUUUUGGACUGUAGUUGAACAUCUAAAAUAAUUGCAAUUUAGUCUUUUUUUUUUUUUUUUCUUUUUUUUUUUUAAAUGCCAUCUGAUGUUGAGCUCAAACACAAUGCCAAAUGCUCUUGAGUCAACUACAAGCGUUACCGGAUGGCAAGAAAUCAUCAAUGUCAAUUAUGGGAAGUUCUAAAUAUAAAAAUUAGUUAGUUACUCGACCUGUAAUCUAAGAUGUGUGUGUGUGUGUGUGUGUGUGUGGUUAUGUUAGCUAUUUGUUUCGUUUAUGAGCUUGUGUAGGGUGUGUUACUUUCUCAUCGUGGUGACCCAGACACGUCUGCCUACAACACGCUCGUUGUGAGAUAGGCCUAAAACCAUUUUGUCAAUGACUCUGUCUGCCUUUAAAAUAAUUUCGAUCUCUCACCGCGUGUUCUUCGUUUCUUUUCCUUGAACUGGAUGGAUCGGCAAUCCGGGUCUCGUCGGGACGGCAGCUUCUCACCCUCAGGGAGGAAUCACCUAUACUAAAUGGCCUCCUGUCCGUCCGUCAGAGUCCAGAUCACGCGUCCAUCCCAUCCUCGUCGCCAAGUUUGUGGUGGAAAUUUGUGGAUUUAGCCCAUGUGAGAAAUCAAAAGUAUCUUGAGCUUGCUUUGUGAUUAAGUAUUUAUUACUAACUAGAAUAUAGAAAAAUGAUAAACAAUACAGAAAUCAUCAGCACAAGCCGUAAGCACAGACAGAAGUCAAAUGACUACAAUUCAGCUGAAAAGGGGCAGAAAGUUCCUUCUCCCAAAAGGAGCAGGAAGAUCUGACCAAGUUUCUAUGGGGGACGAGGAGCUUUUAUACAUCUCUGAAGGUUCGAGGAAUGCUAACCAGAUGUUGUUUCGGGAACCUCCACGACCCUCUUAGUGGGACCAAAUCAAUCAUUUUGACAGACAGGAAAACAGAGGAGAAAGGUAAAUAGAAGAACAUGAUAUGGUCUGUCCAAGCCACAUAUGGAUUUCAUCGUAGACUAGGUCAGGUCACGAGUUUCCCAAGAAAGGUCACAUACAAGUUCUUGAG
ensembl:lncRNA